AGUGAACGCUGGCGGUAGGCCUAACACAUGCAAGUCGAAUGGCAGCACAGUAAGAGCUUGCUCUUACGGGUGGCGAGUGGCGGACGGGUGAGGAAUACAUCGGAAUCUACUUUUUCGUGGGGGAUAACGUAGGGAAACUUACGCUAAUACCGCAUACGACCUACGGGUGAAAGCAGGGGAUCUUCGGACCUUGCGCGAUUGAAUGAGCCGAUGUCGGAUUAGCUAGUUGGCGGGGUAAAGGCCCACCAAGGCGACGAUCCGUAGCUGGUCUGAGAGGAUGAUCAGCCACACUGGAACUGAGACACGGUCCAGACUCCUACGGGAGGCAGCAGUGGGGAAUAUUGGACAAUGGGCGCAAGCCUGAUCCAGCCAUACCGCGUGGGUGAAGAAGGCCUUCGGGUUGUAAAGCCCUUUUGUUGGGAAAGAAAAGCAGCAGGUUAAUACCCCGCUGUUCUGACGGUACCCAAAGAAUAAGCACCGGCUAACUUCGU
rnacentral:rRNA from 1 species